rnacentral:lncRNA from 1 species
GUCUCUUGUGGACGGUUGUCUCAUAUCAAAGAAACCUAAUUAUAUUUAGAUAUAUUUAGAUUUUGAAUGUGUAUAACUGUAUUCCUAUUAUUGGCUGUUCCAGUGUUACACACAUAUUUAAUGGUGAAUUCACUGUGAAUAUAGUAUCAUUGGUGAGGAUUUGUAAACAAUGAAAUACCUGUAUAGCAUUUUAGUUACAAAACCAGGUUCAACCAGGUUCAACCCACCUUUUUUUCCUAAAAUGUCCAGAACUAAGUACGGAGAAUGGCAAUGAUUUAUUAUAGUUCGUUUCUGUGUGUGUUACAUUUUAAUGUUGUGUUUCUGUUGUGUCGUAAUUCUCCUCUUAUAUUUGAUGCGUUUCCCUCAGUUUUAGUUUGCAACCCGGAUUUGUUUUUCUUUCUCAAUCGAUUUAUGAAUUUCAAACAGCGAUUUACUACUGUUGCCUUGAUUAGUUGAUAUUUGAUAACUAUAUAUUCAUUAGAAGUAUGUGAUGUUCAAAGCACAAAUACUAAUGUGACGUAAUGUCAUAUGUCAUUUCGGGUCUUUAUGUGUCUUUAGCAACUCGCAUAAUGCUUUGAUGUUUAAACAUGGAAUACGGUGAUCAUUGUUGGUAUUGUUUUUGUACCAGUAUUUUAAGUACAAAUCAAGUUCUGGAAAAUACAAGUACCCAAUUAUUACAAUAAUUCUAAAGUGAAGAAAACGUACUAAAUAUUAAAAGUAAAUUUAUAGUACUGUGGAUUCCUUUAUUUUCGUGGGUAUCAAUUUUCGUGGAUAGAGAAAAAAAAGACGUUUCGUGGUAUACGUAAAUUCGUGGAUCGCUGAUCACAAAAAAAAAUUACAUACGUAAUUCGUGGAUUUCUUUUUGAUUUAGGAGAUCAUAUAACCUCCUUGGUUUGAUCAAUAAUAAAACAAAAACAAAAAAAAGGAAUUCAUUGAAAAAGUUUUGAAUUGUCAAAAUCCUCGCUUGGUCAUUCUAGGUUAAAGUGUUCAUUGAUAACAUCGAUUACAAUAAUGGACAGAGACAACUAAUUAUUUCUUUGUUUUACAAUUUAUAAAUUCUUGUCUGAUGUCUAUAAGGCAUUCAAAACUUUAUGAUUGAAAGCUCAUUUCCCUAAUCACGAUAGAACAGACAGUGAUAUAAGUAUAAGGUGUGAAAAUAAAUGUUCCUGUCAUAAACAAUAUUACCUACGGGCAAUACCC